GGCACUCGGGCCGCCGGCUGUGGCUGCCCUGCGCAAUACCGCCGGGUUCACAAAGCGCCGCGGCUCUGCGCCGAACCGGGGGCGGGCCGGGCCAGCGUUUGGCAACUCCGAAUCCUCUCGCCUCCGGGCCUGCCGUUUGCGAGGGAAGAGCACUGAAGAUCUUCUGUUAACCUGUUGUUCUCCCUUGGGCUGCUGAUGUUCCCCACAUCACUGACUGGUACCCACAUUUCUGCUGCAGACAAUAGGAGAUGGAGCCGUUCCUAAGGUCUUUCUGACAGUAAUGUCUUUUUUCUUCAGAAGAAGGUUAUUCCAGGGGGUUGCUAAAGAAAUGCUUUCCAUCUCCCUCCUUUUGACACCCGGUCUGGGUUCUCUACAGAAGAUUCAUGAUCUGAAGCCAGCCAAGCAGCUGAAGGACACUCAUGAUUUCCCAGUGUCAUAAGCCUGCCAGCUUUGAUGGACAAGUGCACAAAAACUCCAGUGGGUUACUGACUAAGGGCAAAACAUGCCUCCAUUUCAGGACUAUCUUUUUCUGCCACUGAGGAAACAAGUGACUGACUUUGCAACAUUAUAAUAUGGAGAAGUUAAUCUCUCUCUCACACAUGCUGAUUUCAAGCUCUUCAGUUGUUGCUUACAUCAAAGACUUGAAUACCAUACUUGAUUUACACAUUGCUCUGCUCUAAAUCAGUUGAGCUCUGGGCCACCUAUCCCUCUGACCCACAAGUUCUAUAUAGAUUAAAGUGUCCUCCCACUUAAAUCAAUGUGGGAAUAACAUUAGUCAUACAUUUCUCCAAAGUCAAUUCUGUUCCAUUGGGCCGCAAAAGAUACCUUUGAAAGAUUGUAGUGGGAGUUCAGGUGAACACUUAUCUGUGAAAAGAGUUAUUUGUUUUAUUCACAUCCCAUUUUUCUCUUGGAACUCAAAAUAUAUACACAGUACUCCAAUUCUUUCCA